GAUGAACGCUGGCGGCGUGCUUAACACAUGCAAGUCGAACGGAAAGGCCUCUGCUUGCAGAGGUGCUCGAGUGGCGAACGGGUGAGUAACACGUGGGUGAUCUGCCCUGCACUUCGGGAUAAGCCUGGGAAACUGGGUCUAAUACCGGAUAGGACCACAUUUUGGAUGGUGUGGUGGAAAGUUUUUUCGGUGUGGGAUGAGCUCGCGGCCUAUCAGCUUGUUGGUGGGGUAAUGGCCUACCAAGGCGUCGACGGGUAGCCGGCCUGAGAGGGUGUACGGCCACAUUGGGACUGAGAUACGGCCCAGACUCCUACGGGAGGCAGCAGUGGGGAAUAUUGCGCAAUGGGCGCAAGCCUGAUGCAGCGACGCCGCGUGGGGGAUGACGGCCUUCGGGUUGUAAACUCCUUUCGCUAGGGACGAAGCGUUUUGUGACGGUACCUGGAGAAGAAGCACCGGCUAACUACGUGCCAGCAGCCGCGGUAAAAC
rnacentral:rRNA from 1 species